rnacentral:rRNA from 1 species
GACGAACGCUGGCGGCGUGCCUAAUACAUGCAAGUUGAGCGCUGAAGGUUGGUACUUGUACCAACUGGAUGAGCAGCGAACGGGUGAGUAACGCGUGGGGAAUCUGCCUUUGAGCGGGGGACAACAUUUGGAAACGAAUGCUAAUACCGCAUAAAAACUUUAAACACAAGUUUUAAGUUUGAAAGAUGCAAUUGCAUCACUCAAAGAUGAUCCCGCGUUGUAUUAGCUAGUUGGUGGGGUAAAGGCUCACCAAGGCGAUGAUACAUAGCCGACCUGAGAGGGUGAUCGGCCACAUUGGGACUGUGACACGGCCCAAACUCCUACGGGAGGCAGCAGUAGGGAAUCUUCGGCAAUGGACGAAAGUCUGACCGAGCAACGCCGCGUGAGUGAAGAAGGUUUUCGGAUCGUAAAACUCUGUUGGUAGAGAAGAACGUUGGUGAGAGUGGAAAGCUCAUCAAGUGACGGUAACUACCCAGAAAGGGACGGCUAACUACGUG